UAUAUAUUUUUAUAAGGAGAAGAUGAGUUUUAUAAAUUAUAAAGGGAUAAAACCAUUUGUUUGAUGCAAAGGGGGGAAGUAUGGUUGGAGUUGUCAAGCUUCUUUAUUUUGUGAUUAUCUUUCUUUGCUUAUUUCUUCUUGUAACAAACAUCGAAGGUAAACCAUUUUCAUCCUUUUUAAAUAUCCUUCUAUAGUUCAUUAAAUAAUUUUAUAUUGUUUUAAUUACAUUAUUUUAAUAUCGUUUUUACUUACAGCACUAGAGAAAAAAUGUUCUUGGGAUUCAGAAUGCCCCAAAGAUAUGUGUAGAUAUCCUGCAAAAGUUAAGUGUAUUUACCACACCUUUUGUAAAUGUAUGUCAAAUUUUAUUAAGCCCACUUGAUUUUGUAUAUAUAGUACAAUAUCCAAGAAAGUACUCAAAUACCCUUCUCUAAAUUCUCUUCUAUAAUAUAUCAAAUUUAAAGAACAUUGUAGCUAUCGUGUUGUACAACAAAACAGUGGUAAUAAAAGAAAUAAGGCAACCAUAAAUACUAUUGAGAUUGUAUUCUUUUCUCUUAAUUUCAUAUAUAUUUUUAUGAUUUUCACUU
rnacentral:lncRNA from 1 species